rnacentral:rRNA from 1 species
CCUACGGGGUGCAGCAGUGGGGAAUAUUGGGCAAUGGGCGCAAGCCUGACCCAGCAACGCCGCGUGAAGGAAGAAGGCUUUCUGGUUGUAAACUUCUUUUCUCAGGGACGAAGCAAGUGACGGUACCUGAGGACUAAGCCACGGCUAACUACGUGCCAGCAGCCGCGGGAAUACGUAGGUGGCAAGCGUUAUCCGGAUUUACUGGGUGUAAAGGGCGUGUAGGCGGGGACGCAAGUCAGAUGUGAAAACCACGGGCUCAACCUGUGGCCUGCAUUUGAAACUGUGUGUCUUGAGUACUGGAGAGGCAGACGGAAUGCCUAGUGUAGCGGUGAAAUGCGUAGAUAUUAGGAGGAACACCAGUGGCGAAGGCGGUCUGCUGGACAGCAACUGACGCUGAGGCGCGAAAGCGUGGGGAGCAAACAGGAUUAGAUACCCCAGUAGUC